UGGCGAGCGGCGGGCAGCGGGCGGGUCGGGCUCUGGCCCCGCGGGCGCUGUGCUUGGCGGGGAAUUUAUCUUCCCUUCCUGGGGAGGAAAAAAAAAGAGAGAGAGAGAGAAAAUCAAGUCGCAGCCGGCUUGGGCCGGUGUUGCGGGCGGGCGUGGGAGACGCUGAGGCUGCGAGGGCUUCCCCAGCUGUUUCCAACUGACCCAAGUGUGAAGUGAGGUGUGAACAGGCAGGCCUCUGACUGAGCCCGAGCCCACUGACUGCCCAGGAGAGAGGCCCUUGAGGACCUGGCCUGCAACAGACUGGCUGGAGGGUCCCCCACUGACUGAGGCCGUCCUGCCCGAAAGUCAGGAAACACAGGGGCCCUGGUUGUGUAAUAAGAGUACAUUUGAAAAAUGCCUUGUCCUUAUCUGAAAACCCAGAUGGAAGAAUACCAGCCCUGAAGUUGCUUUUCUUAAAACUGAGACCAGCUGGGAAGUGGUAUGGGUCUCUGAACUUGGCAUGCACUGGCACCACAAAAGGUCUCUGCUGGUGUUUGCCUGUGAUGACAAAGAUGGCAAGUAUGACAGCAGUCGGGAAGCUGUAACUGUGAAGCUGUUGGGGGGUCCUAAUGACUCCUGAUAGGAGGACCUGGUGUAGGGAGAGGAGGCACUGGCAGAGGCCUUCCUUUGUGUAUUAGUUUGGCCUUGGAUUCCUGGAGUUGGUAUGCGUCUUAAAUAUUUGUAAAUUGGCUGCCUGAAUAUCUUUUGCAGGAGAAGGAAAUUGUCAACUUCCUAUUUCCCCAGCCUGAGGGAGGCCCCUCAUUUGAGAAUGGUGGCAUAAAAUUACCACAGGUCGGUGGGCUGGCUGCAGCAUUAGGUUCUGAUAGAGGAUCUCUUGAAAUUCUAUGCCAGGGUUUUGAGAGAGUGGUUUUAUUAGUGCCUUUGACCUCUUUCCUUAGGAGUGACUUUGUUGGGCUUGCUGCUGCUUGCAUAUAUCAAAAUUCAGUGGAGUAGGUAGGGAAGGGGAGGAAUAAGUAUAGAGUUUUUUAAAAUUAAAAAAGAUAUUCUCAAAAAUUUUAUAUAUUAUGUUAUAUAAUUUAUAUAUUAUAAAAUAUAUGUUUUAUAACAUAUACGUUUUGAGAAUUGAGCAUUUAAUAAAAGUGACCUAGUUCUAAGGUUUUUAAAAGUCAUUACAGGGAGAUUUUGUGGUUUUGCAUUUUUUUUUAAAUCUCAGAAAUAGGGUUUAAAGAUUACUAUAAUUCUUUCAUUAGUGUUGUAACCAAGAACUCCAUGAAAUGCAUGAAGUGUGAAAUGAAGUACACGGGCUACAGCAAUCUUUAAAAGUUAUCAGUUGUUGGGGUGCCUGGGUGGCUCAGUCAGUUAAGCGUCCGACUUCGGCUCAGGUCAUGAUCUCGCGGUUCGUGAGUUCAAGCCCCGCGUCGGGCUCUGUGCUGACGCUCGGAGCUCAGAGCCUGGAGCCUGUUUCAGAUUCUGUGUCUCCCUCUCUCUCUCUGACCCUCCCCCGUUCAUGCUCUGUCUCUCUCUGUCUCAAAAAUAAAUAAACGUUAAAAAAAAAAGAAAAAAAAGAAAAAAAUAAAAAGAAAAAAAAAGUUAUCAGUUGUUUAUGUGUGUGUAUGUAUACCAGGCCUCAUUCUAUGAAGGGUUUAUGAUGGAUUAUGACAAACACUGAGGAAAUUACUAAAAUACAAGUAUGAAAUAUAAAAUCAGGCUAAGACAAAUAUAAAUUAGAAUAGAAAAUAAAGACUGGGGCAGGCAGAGAAAUUGAAGAGAAAUAUGCAAAGAGUUAAGGACCUAACUGAAUAAUUGAAUUAAAAUUUUAGUUCUGAGUUCCUCUGGCAAAGUGAAGAGGGGAUAAGUCAGUUAGCUAACUUUUAUUAUUAGGAAGAAAAACACAGGGGUGCCUGUGGCUCAGCUGGUUAAGUGCCUGACUCUUGGUUUUGGCUCAGGUCAUGAUUUUGCAGUUGGUGCGUUCGAGCCCCGCAUCAGGCUCCAUGUUGACAGUGUGGAGCUUGUUUGGGAUUCUUUCUCUCCCUCUCUCUCUGUGCUUCCCUCCCUAUCUCUCUCUCAAAAAAAAAUAAGUGAACUUAAAAAGAAAAAAAGAGGGGCACCUGUGUGGCUUAGUUGGUUAAGCAUUGACUUUGGCUCAGAUCAUGAUCUCAUGGCUUGUGAGUUAGAGCUCAGAGCCUGGGGCCCGCUUUGGAUUUUGUGUCUCUGUCUUUCUCUGUCACUCCCCUGCUUAUGUUCUGUCUCUGUCUCUCUCUCAAAAAUAAACAAACAUUAAAAAAAAUUAAAGAAAAACACAUACCAGUUCCUAAGAGAAAGCAAAACUUUUGUUAGCUCUUACCUCCAAAAGAGAUGGCUCAUGUAGGUUUUUUUAACAAAAGUAUUUUGGCAUAAAAAAGAAACCAAAACCAAAAUAUUCAUAGAAAAGAUUUGAAAAGGAAGAUAAGCAAAAAAAAAAGGACAAAAAUUGUCCGUAAACAUAACCCUGUGAGAUAACCACUACAUUUUGUUUAUUUGUUUUUUUAUUAAAAAAAAUUUUUUUUAACGUUUAUUUAUUUUUGAAACAGAGAGAGACAGAGCAUGAACAGGGGAGGGUCAGAGAGAGGGAGACACAGAAUCUGAAACAGGCUCCCGGCUCUGAGCUGUCAGCACAGAGCCCAAUGCGGGGCUCGAAUUCGCGGACUGCGAGAUCAUGACCUGAGCCGAAGUCGGACGCCCAACUGACUGAGCCACCCAGGUGCCCCAACCACUACAUUUUGGCAUAUAUCUUUUCAGGACUUUUCCUGUGAUCAAAUUUGCAUGUAAAAAUACAUAUUUGUUUUAUCUUCAUAAAAAUCUUUUGAGGGGUUGACAAAGCAAGUGUGGCAAGAUAAGUCAUACAGUUGUAAGCAAUAUAUAGCCAAAAUGUAAGCAAAAAUCCAGUAACUGUUAAUAGACCAUUUUCAUUUAUUGGGCAUUUCUUAUGUGCUUGGUACUGUAAUAAGGACCUUAAGUAAGCUGCCACCAAGUUGUCCCAACAGAUCUCUUUCAGAUUCAGCAUUACUCGUAUUGUAUGGCUUCAGGCAAAUUAAGUCACUCAAGGUUACACUAUUAAGUGACAGUAUUCAGGACUAGGUUUAUCUAAAAGUCUGUAUUCUUCUAUUGUGAUAGGUCACUCUGUCUCUGCAAAUAUUGCCAUUCUCAUUUUACAGAUGGGUAACCCAUGGCUCUGGGAAGUUGACUAUUGCCCUAGACUAGUGAGCUAUGGAGUACUCCUUCUCGGAGUCUCAGAGUACUGACUUUGCUCCUGCCCUGAGAAGAGUCCCUUCCCACCUUUUGUGAAGAGUGUUGUAAACUAGCUUGCUACCACUUUAUGUUGGCAGGAUGUUGCUGUUCAGAUGCCAGGGGAACACUUAUUCUGAUGGUUUCUGUGAAAUGUCAGUGAGAGGAAACUUGGAUGUAUUGGUUCUUUUUAAAAACUUUUUAAAUGUUUAUUUAUUUUUUUGAGAGAGAGAAAGAGCACAAGUGGGGAAAGGACAGAGAGAGAGGGAGACACAGAAUCUGAAGCAGGCUCCAGGCUCUGAGCUGCCAGCACAGAACCUGACGUGGGGCUCAAACCCACGAACUGUGAGAUCAUGAGCUGAGCU